rnacentral:rRNA from 1 species
UACGUAGGGUGCAAGCGUUGUCCGGAAUUAUUGGGCGUAAAGAGCUCGUAGGCGGUUUGUUGCGUCGGCUGUGAAAUCCCGAGGCUCAACCUCGGGUCUGCAGUCGAUACGAGCAAACUAGAGUGCGGUAGGGGAGAUUGGAAUUCCUGGUGUAGCGGUGGAAUGCGCAGAUAUCAGGAGGAACACCGAUGGCGAAGGCAGAUCUCUGGGCCGUAACUGACGCUGAGGAGCGAAAGCGUGGGGAGCGAACAGG